rnacentral:tRNA from 1 species
GGUUCGCUAGCUCAACCGGUAGAGCAGCUGACUCUUAAUCAGCGGGUUCGGGGUUCGAGUCCCUGGCGAACCACCA